CCGAUCAGCUCUCCUUGGGAAUGUGAAAUAAGAGAUGCAGAGGGAUGUUGCCAGUUAGUUGUGGGGAGCUAAGCUGAGAGGUCCAGUACACCAAGAUGCUGGUUGGGUUGGGAGUGCUAUGGACUAGGUCAAGUGCCUGUUGAACAGCUAAAUGUAGUUGGCCAAGCAAGGACAUGGGGCAGUUGUGCAGAGAGAAGCAGGCUUGUGACGUGGAUGAGCCAUAUGAACGACAGACCUCUAGAGCAGAGAGGUUCAUGCUACAGCUAGACAUUUCCUCAAGCUCCAGGUACAAUGAGCUCUAUUUGAAUUCCUACCCUUGGAUUUCUGCUUCCUGAUCUUGCUUCAUUUGGUUUCUGUUUCUUGCAUCCAAAAGAGGCCCAACCCAAGCAACCCUUUCCAUAGAUUCCAUUUAAUUUGUGCUUCAUCCCCUCAGAGCACUUCUUGUACAAUUAGAAGGAAUUUGCACUCUGAUGCCAAGUGGACUGUUCUAAGCAUCUGAGUUAGGAAAAUGGGGUUGGGGUUGUAGUGCUGAACCACCACACCUGACAUUACUGUUUGGGAAGGUCACCAGCCUUCUCAUACUGAAGGGGAAGAGCCAAGCCUUUGUUGAAAUAUACAUGCAAGAGGUUGCUGACACCACACGUAUCAGUGCCAUGCUGCCAGUCCAACUAUGUCUAGUUCUUCAAGCACAAGGUGCUCAAGACCAAUAGCUCCCCACACAAGGUGCAUGCCAAUCGGGUAAUCUUACAGGUGGUGAAGUCAGUACAUUUGAGAAACCUGGUCUUCAUGGGCUCCAGUGGCCCACAUACACCAAGAUGGUGAUGGUUGACCAGAACACCGAACUCAGGAUCAUCAUGGGAAAAUCUCUGCUACUCAGUGAUCCUGGAUGCUCUGCACCAGGCCUUCUUCAAGUGUGGCACUGUCCUCAGUAUCAUCAUCUUCACUAAGACCAACCAUUUCCAGGCAUACUAUCAGCAGCAGUUGCAACUGCAUCAUCAUUUCAAGUCUGAAGGUGUCAGGGAUUCCAUCUUGCUGGCUGGCAACCUGAACACAAGAAAGCACAGAGCCAAGCCCCUUUAUUCUCUUCAGUAUCUAUGGUUAUGUGAAGCAGGUGAAGAUCUUGUUCAACAAGGCGAAGACAGCAGGUAGGCCCAGCUGGCCAUGAGGCACCCAAACAAACUAUAUGGGGAGCCAAUGCAUAUUACAACAUCAAAGCACCAGAGUGUGCAGCUGCCUUGUGAGGGGCAGGAAGACUGGCUUCACCAAAGACGCUGAUAGCUCACCAGUGCACUGCUUCAAGAAGCUGGGCCCCAAGUUCUUUAAGAAUUUCUUCCUGUUCUCAGCCAUCCGGCAACUCAUCAACAUCCCUUCCUCAGUGUCAGAGCAGUUCCUCAAGAACUUCUCAAGCAACAAGGGCAUGACCAAGGGCUUCAAAUUCUUUCAGGGACUGCAGCCCUGAAUUCAUGCUCUCUGUCCCAUCCAUCAUCCCUACUAGAAGAACUACAUGAUGGUUCUGAUCCAGAUAAGUUUGUUGGAGGAAGAAGUGCAGGCACCCAUUAAGCUGCAAAUCCACGACCAAAGCAUCCCUGAACAAAAAGAAUAAUGCUGGUGGGAUUGUUACUCCAGAAUUCAGGAUAUAUUAUAGAUCUCUAGUAAUGAAAAUAUGGCACUGACAUCAAAGAGACAUGUAUGCCAAUGGGACAAAAUAGAAGACCCAAACAUGAGUACUUGUAACUGCAGCCAUCUGCUAUUUGAUAAAGAGGCAAAAAACAUACCCUGGAGAAAAGACAGAGCAUCUUCAACAAGUGGUGGGUAAAGCUGAAGACUGUAUGGCGACAUGCAGAUGAAUGGAUCGGACUCAUACCUGUCCAAUCAUACCCAACAUUAGAUCCAAGUGUACCAAUGACUUCAAUUUGAAACCUGCAACAUUAAAGCUGCUGGAAGUAAACAUAUGCAGUUUCCUUCAAGAGAUAAAUGAAGGGAAGGACCUUCUCAACAGGACCACAUUUGUUCAGGAAUUAAGGUCAGCAAUUGACAACAGGGACCUCAUAAAACUGAAGAGCUUUUGUGCAGCUAAGGAAAUAAUCAAGUGAAGAGGAAGCCUACAGAAUGGGAGAGGGUCAUUGCCAGCUACACAUCUGUUAGAGGGCUAAUAUCUACAAUAUAUGAGGAACUCAAAGAACAAAGAGUCAAGGAAACAAACAGCCCAAUUAAAAAGUGGGCUGGGGAUGUAGACAAUUUCAACAGAAGAAAUAGAAAGGGCUAAGAAAUACCUCAGAAAAAGUGUCCAACUUCCUUAGCAAUUAGGGUAAUGUAAACUAACCCAACGUUGACAAUUCUUAACGAGACUACUGACAACAAAUGCUGCUGCAGAUAUGUCAGCGGGAAUGUCAACUGGCACAGCCACUCUGAAAGUCCAUAUGGAGGAUCCUCAAAAAGCUAAAAAUAGCUCUACAAAAUAACCCAGCUCUACCCUUCGGCAUAUGCCCAAGGGGUAUCCUCCUCUACAGAUUCUUACCUGACUCUGUUCACUGUUGCUCUAUAGCUAGGAAAUGGAAACAAAUGAGAUGUCUGACAACUGACAAUUGAAUAAUGAAGAAGGUCUAAGAAUCCAGUAGUUAUUCAGUGCCAGAGGCUGGAUAUCUCAGCCGAUCUUCAGAAUAUGUCAGAGCCCUGGCAAAGUAGGCUCUAAUGCUCGUAAAGGGAUGGACUUGCUAACAAGGCGAGAGCAAGCACGCAAGGAAAGAGCAAGCUGCCUUCUUCGAUGUCCUUCCUAUAGGCUUCCAACAGAAGGUGUGGCCCAGGUUAAAGGUAGAUCUUUCCCAUCUCUAAGGAUCAGGAUUAAAAGUGAUCCUUCUCACUUCAGAUUAUUUAAUUAAAAAGGACCUCACAGGGAUAACCACUUGAGUUUAAUUAAUCCCAAAAGUAGUCAAGUUGACAGUCAAGAAUAGCCAUCACAGAAACCAGAGGUGGAGCUGGGUGGCUGGGUGUUGGACUUGACACAGGAAUAACAAGCAGUACACAGGUGAUAUGGAGUAGGAAAUAGCAAAAAAUAGGGAAGGGGUCCAACUUGGGAGGAGAGAGGGAGGUCAAUACAGACAGAGAAGGGAUGUGGGACAGAUAAAACUAAUAUUAUUUGAUAAAGCCCCAGAGAAUCAUUUUAUAUUUACCUAAGAUUAUAUACAAUAGAAGAACAAGUGUAUGUGUAUAAUGGAUUGUGUGUGUGUGUGUGUGUGUGUGUGUGUGUGUGUGUGUGUGUAUGUACUGACAAUGUUCCCCACAAGAAUCAUAGAUUAAAAGGUAGCCCAGUACCAAGCCUGGUUCAAAUGGCUAAGGUAGUCCAAGUGAUUCUGAGUAUAGAUGUAGCCCUUGGUUGCCUGUCAGCGGUGGAGGAUAGACCCCGUUGCUGAAUAGACCAAACACUUAGGAUAUACAAUCUUGAGCUGGAUGUGACCUAAAAACCUCUUUUCUGUGGUCUAGCUUCCACUGUUUCAGAAAAUACUAUGGAAGCUGUCAAGGGAGGAAAAUACUUAAACAGUCCUACCCAGUCUUACCUAUGAACCAGAACAAUUGCCAUCACGGUAAGACUGUAGGUAGAAUAAGUGACAAUAACAUGUUGGCAACCAAGAGCUCUGUCAUAGACUUAAAGCCCACCCACUAGGAGGGAAGUAAUGCCUGGUACUUGAAUCCUAGUCAACUUCAUGGGGCUAGUGAGGUUAUGGACUGCAGAAAAGAGUGCACUGCUGCCACUUUGCUAGACCAGCAUAAUUCCUAAUACAUUUUAAAUCUUAUCCUUAUACCCAGAGAUAAUGUAACUACCACCAGGAAGCCUGUCUCUACUGCAAAUGGAAACCAUCACAGGAAACCACAACUGGGCACACUGCACAGACUGGCAGAUUGGGGGAGCUCAGGCCCACGGACACGUAAAGCUCAGCUCUAUGGCCCAGGAAACACUGAGGAAGAGAGUGGAAAGAUUGUAAGAGCAAGAAUACCUGGAAGCCUGCGAAGUUUCUUCCAGAAAUGGCUGUAUAAAUAAAACCAGAACAAUGCCAAUGUCAAUGGAAAUUUUGACAUAGGAGAGCAAAAUUUUCACUGGACAGAGAACUCUAGGCAACCAAUGAGUCCUGGGAGAAUUAGCCUCUCCCAAGGAUAAGCCCAAAUACUGGUUGUCUGAUGCAGAGUGAUCAGACUAGAGACCAUUUAUACUCAAACAACAAAAGUGGACUCAGUAGCUUGGAUGUAUACACACAUAUACAUAGAUAUGCAUGUAACAAUAAUAACAGAACAAGCCCAUCAACCUGAGAGUAAGGGCUGGAUAGGUAGAGGCUGGAGGGAGGGAAGGCAGAGAGAGAAGCAAGGUGUAAUUCUGCUUUAAUUAAAAACUUAUCAACUGAAAUAACCUUACAGACCAGAUGUAUAUUUUUAAAAAGAAUCAGUUUACCUGUUCUUUUAAAAAUCAAAAUUUUGUCAGGCAUGUUGGCAUGCGCCUUUAGUCCUUGCACUUGGGUGGCAGAGGCAGAAGGAUCUCUGUGAGUUUGAGGCCAGCCUGGACUACAGGACAGCCAAGGGCUACACAGAGAAAUCCUGUUUCAAAGAAAUUUCCACAAAACUAAACUAACUAAGUAAAUAAUAAUAAAAAAGAAAUCUAUAGCAACUAAUGAGUUCUGGGAGACCCAUUUUACAGUCUGUGCAGGGACCUGUGCCUUGAAAUGCCCAGAUGUGAGGAGGUCUCAGCAGCCCCUAGAACAUAGCCACCUCCUUGGGCCUUACACACUAAUGCCCCACAAGUCACCUACUCAAGCCACCAGGGUCUGUUUUGACCUCCAGCUGAGCAAGGUGGCCUGCACUAUGGGAUUCCUAGGUUUUUCAGAAGCUGUGGCUGCCACUCCUAACCUUGUAAUCAAGUGACAUGAUUCUUCUAUGUUGAUAGCUAGGCCAGAGGGCUCUUUCUAUCCUUGGCUGCAGAGCUUUUUGUGAUGUUUUGUGUGGCUGCAGACCCAUCCCUAGCAAUAUGUCCAGUAGAAUCCUGAACUUUUCCCAUUUAUGUGUAGUUUUACGUAAUUUUUAAUAGCCACGAUAUGAUGCUAUGCGUGCACUCUUAGCUUCUAUACACCUAUGCUCUUCCCUUCCUUCCUGGUAGCUAAGUCACAGGUGGGACUCAAGAUGGCACAGCCUCUACCUGCCCUAUCAGGAGAAACAGCUUUGAAACUGUCAAGGCCUUUCCACCUCCAAAUUUUGUACCAAAGUUUGGUUUCUACCCACCUCUGACUCAUACCCAGGUAGAAGGGCCGAUUCCAAGUCUUUGCCUGGUCUCUCCAACCCUCACCUCUGUAUUUAGCUUGUAUUCAAGGGAAUGUGACCCUGGACUUGGAGGUUCUAUGAAGAACCAAGUCAAGAGUGUGAAAAAUUACAAUUUUAUAUGUGUGGGAGGGCAUCGGUGUAGUGUUUAUUUUUAAUGGUGAUAGGUGUAUAUUUUGGUAAUAACGAUAGGCUCAGUUCCCUGGUGACAUUAUACCCUGUCUCAGAUGACUGUGUGUGAGUGUGAAUGUGUGUGUGCUUCCAGCAAAGCCACUUUACAACCUGUGUUUUCCCUUCUGUGCUAUAGAAAGAAGCAUCAGCUGGGUUGAGCCUGGAUUCAGUAAGCUUCCGUUUCCUAUGGAGGAUGGGAGGGCACAUUAAAAUACAUGAAACCAGCAUUCAAGCAAUGGAAUUGCAAUGUCACUUCCUCCCACUCUACAACUCACUCUCCUUUGACUAUAAUAUACAUCUCCAAUCCUGGAAACUUGUUUUUAAUGGUGAUAACAAAGAGACCACAAGAAGAUCCAAGAUCAGAAUUAGGCCUACCAACUCACUGCUUCUAUUUCUGCCACCCGCACCCUGCAAGACAGUCACCCUAAGAAACAAAUGCCAGCCCUUGUUCAAUCCUGAACAGGUGCAAGUUACAGUUUUAUGUAUGGCCAGCCUGGCUAUCAGAACAAUAAUUGUCCCAGAGCAAGGCUUCCUGUUCUUAUGCUUUGCCCAGUAAAUAAAUCAGAUACAUGUCCACAUGGAGACUGAGCUGCAUGUCUGUUACAUAUGGUCCAGGGGCCUCGUCUCAGCCUGUGUGUGUUAUUUAGUGCCUCAGUCUCAGAGCUCUCAGAGGUCCAGGUUAGUUGACUCUGUUGGUCCUUUUGUGGGGUUCUCAUCCUGGCCUCAGUAGGAGAAUGUGCCUAAUCUGGCAGAGACUUGAUACACCAGGGUCGGAAGAUACCCAGGGGAGGGG
ensembl:lncRNA LOC103690810 uncharacterized LOC103690810